rnacentral:misc_RNA from 1 species
AUCACGCCCCGACCGAAAUUAUCACCUCAUAAUACUCAAAGAAUGAUUCCUUAUUCCUUAUAUAAUAUCAUAUUGUAUUGAAAAUAUUGACAGUGCAUUUCCCUUGUAUCAUAUGAUAAAAUCUUAAGAUUUUGAUAACUCGUUUUCUAUAGUUUGACUAGGCAGAUGUAGGGACUUGACAUUAUUUGAUUCUUGAUAUAUCCGUCCCUUUGUGUACGGAUGAUUUCACUCAGUAUUUUAUAGCAUCAUAUCAGUAAUCACAUGUUUAUUGAAACAUAUCAUAAUUUUUGGAAUAUUUUCUAAGGUAAAAGCAUGCGCUGUAUGAGUGUAUUUUGAUUUAUUGUAUAAAUUGUUGCUUUAU